CAGACUUUGAUCAUGGCUCAGGACGAACGCUGGCGGCGCGCCUAACACAUGCAAGUCGAACGAGAAAGAGGGAGCUUGCUUCCUCAAUCGAGUGGCGAACGGGUGAGUAACGCGUGAGGAACCUGCCUCAAAGAGGGGGACAACAGUUGGAAACGACUGCUAAUACCGCAUAAGCCCACAGCUCGGCAUCGAGCAGAGGGAAAAGGAGCAAUCCGCUUUGAGAUGGCCUCGCGUCCGAUUAGCUAGUUGGUGAGGUAAUGGCCCACCAAGGCGACGAUCGGUAGCCGGACUGAGAGGUUGAACGGCCACAUUGGGACUGAGACACGGCCCAGACUCCUACGGGAGGCAGCAGUGGGGAAUAUUGCACAAUGGGGGAAACCCUGAUGCAGCGACGCCGCGUGGAGGAAGAAGGUCUUCGGAUUGUAAACUCCUGUUGUUGAGGAAGAUAAUGACGGUACUCAACAAGGAAGUGACGGCUAACUACGUGCCAGCAGCCGCGGUAAAACGUAGGUCACAAGCGUUGUCCGGAAUUACUGGGUGUAAAGGGAGCGCAGGCGGGCGAUCAAGUUGGAAGUGAAAUCCAUGGGCUCGACCCAUGAACUGCUUUCAAAACUGAUUGUCUUGAGUAGUGCAGAGGUAGGCGGAAUUCCCGGUGUAGCGGUGGAAUGCGUAGAUAUCGGGAGGAACACCAGUGGCGAAGGCGGCCUACUGGGCACCAACUGACGCUGAGGCUCGAAAGUGUGGGUAGCAAACAGGAUUAGAUACCCUGGUAGUCCACACCGUAAACGAUGAUUACUAGGUGUUGGAGGAUUGACCCCUUCAGUGCCGCAGUUAACACAAUAAGUAAUCCACCUGGGGAGUACGACCGCAAGGUUGCAACUCAAAGGAAUUG
rnacentral:rRNA from 1 species